GAGGGGGGGCAGACACAAGAAGAGACAGCAGAAGCACGAGCAGCAGCAGCAGCAGCAGCAGCGCAGGUGAUGGAGAGGAAACAGUCAGCACAAGUGAUCAUCAGCAAGGUCACACAACAAAUAACUGUGAUCAUAAUAAUGUGACGCUCCGGUGACUUCUUCUGUAGGUCUCCUCUGUCUCAGCAGGUGCCAAAGGUCAGGGUGUACCUGCAGAGGAAGGCAUGUGGUUUGCUCAGAGACACUUCAGCAGGGUGGAGGAGGAUCAGUCUGAGUGAACGAAGCCGUCCUCCGCGCUCUCCUCCCGGCUGUCCGUCAUCAGAAGCCCCCGGGGGGAGCCUCCUCUCUCUCUCUCUCUCUCUCUCUCUCGGUCGGCCGGCCGGCCUCUGGUGGGAAAGUGACACCUCCUGCUAAAUGCAGCCGGAUUACCAUGUCAAUGUGUACUUGUUAAGUACGUGCAAUGUCACCCAGUUUGUAAGCUUUUUGUCAUUCAGAUUGAGCCUGAAAAGUUGCACAUCAUGUAUAUCAGCGCGGUGUGCUGGCUGCAGAGAUCCAGGCUGUAAACGGUGCAAAUUGGGGCCUGUAGCGGGUAUUUAACACGGUGUCAAAACACAUGCAGCCUGGCUUUGCACCACAUCAUUGUCUGUGUAAAACCACAGUAAACAAUGUGCUAAUACAGCCCAUAGGGUGUUAAACGGUUGUGGUAUUUGGUGCUUAAUAAAUGAAGUGCAACAACAAUUUAAGAAAAGUCACUUAAAGAGGUUUUUUUUUUUUUUUUUUUAAAUCUGUUGAAAAAUCAAACAAAUGAAGUUGAAAGCUUCUGCAAAGUCCUGUCACAAAUGCACAUGCAUCUAACAGAGGAAAUAUAUAUUUUAAAAAACACAUUUAUUGCAACAUAUUUAAUCCCUAGGAAGAUAUUUCUUGGAAAAAAAUAACAGAAGUUGUUGUCAAAGAAUUGAUUCUCGGAUGGUUUGAUGGUUGAAUGAAACAAUUAUUGAACCAAUGCUCAAGAUAAUGUAAAAUAUAAUUUGUGCACACAUAAAAACUCAACAGAAAAAGAAGUGUCCAGCUUAAAAACCCAGCUAUGACCGUACUUAAUAUUUGCAUGUGAAGCAUUUUUUCCACAUUUAAAGGAGAACUCUCAUUCAGUGUGACCCCUGAACUCAAUAUCCUCCUGCCUAUUGAUGCAUACAUAUAUGUAACAUCACACCAAAUUACCUCCUACAUCCCGCCUGCCCAGCCCAUAAUAAUAUUCCUUCACAUAAUCUGUCAAGUUCUGCACAAAGACACUUUACCUCCUCUCGAACCCAAUUACAGGAAUAGCAGGAGAAGAAGAGGGAGGAGGAGGAGGAGGAGGAGGAGGAGAAGAAGAAGCAUUAGAAAUGGACUGACUUGAAGUGUAUGUUUAUGUUUCCUUAAGGCAAAUUAUUUGAUGCAUCUUAAAGCCACAAUAUUCCUCAUUUAACACCCAGCUUCAUUCACGCUUUAUAAAGAGCAUCCUUGUUUGUUAUUCCAGCGUUCAAAUGCAUAUCCCACAUCCUGAUCAAAGUCGCUGUGCUGUCUCUUGAAAUUAAGCGCUGCACCUUUAAAUUGUCAAUUACUGUGAGGUUAAGUGAACUGAAGAGACCCAAUGAUUCAAAUCAGGUGUUACAAUUUACUGCACAUGGAUAUCUGACUUCAUUUUGGCCCGAGUCUCACAGCAGACAAUGCCUGUGCUUUAUUACACAAAGGAAAUAUACAUAGAUGUGUGGAUUUGGCCUCUUCUAAAUUUAAAUGUUGACGAUGUAACACAUUUUAAUAGAUUUUUUUGUG